rnacentral:misc_RNA from 1 species
AACGCACAUUGCGCCCUUUGGUAUUCCGAAGGGCAUGCCUGUUCGAGCGUCAUUUCAACCCUCAAGCUCUGCUUGGUAUUGGGCCCUGCCACGCUGGCAGGCCCUAAAAUCAGUGGCGGCGUCACCUGGGCUCCAAGCGUAGUAGCAUUUCUCGCUCCGGAGACCUGGUGGUGCUCGCCAGACAACCCCUCAUCUUCUAUGGUUGACCUCGGAUCAGGUAGGGAUACCCGCUGAACUUAA